rnacentral:rRNA from 1 species
GCUAGCGGCAGGCUUAACACAUGCAAGUCGAGGGGUAUGGUUCUUCGGAACCAGAGACCGGCGCACGGGUGCGUAACGCGUAUGCAAUCUGCCUUUUACAGAGGGAUAGCCCAGAGAAAUUUGGAUUAAUACCUCAUAGUAUAGUACAGCCGCAUGGCUGAACUAUUAAAGCUCAGCCGGUAAAGGAUGGGCAUGCGGUUGAUUAGCUAGUUGGUGAGGUAAUGGCUCACCAAGGCUUCGAUCAAUAGGGGGUCUGAGAGGAUGUCCCCCCACACUGGUACUGAGACACGGACCAGACUCCUACGGGAGGCAGCAGUAGGGAAUAUUGGACAAUGGGCGCAAGCCUGAUCCAGCCAUGCCGCGUGCAGGAUGAAGGCCCUAUGGGUCGUAAACUGCUUUUGUACGGGAAGAAACGUCACUACGUGUAGUGAUUUGACGGUACCGUGAGAAUAAGGAUCGGCUAACUUCGUGCCAGCAGCCGCGGUAAUACGAAGGAUCCAAGCGUUGUCCGGAUUUACUGGGUUUAAAGGGAGCGUAGGCGGACUUUUAAGUCAGUGGUGAAAGCUUGCAGCUUAACUGUAAAAUUGCCAUUGAAACUGAAAGUCUCGAGUAUGGUUGAGGUGACUGGAAUAUAUCAUGUAGCGGUGAAAUGCUUAGAUAUGAUAUAGAACACCAAUUGCGAAGGCAGGUCACUAAACCAUAACUGACGCUGAGGCUCGAAAGCGU